rnacentral:rRNA from 1 species
GACGAACGCUGGCGGCGUGCUUAACACAUGCAAGUCGAGCGGAGCGGCGAACGGGCGAGUAACGCGUGAGUAACUGCCCCCCUCCCUGGGAUAACAGUUGGAAACGGCUGCUAAUACCGGCUAGUGGGGGAUGACUCGCGUCCUAUCAGCUUGUUGGUGGGGUAGUGGCCUACCAAGGCGACGACGGAUAGCCGGCCUGAGAGGGCGACCGGCCACAUUGGGCUGAGGUACGGCGCAAACUCCUACGGGAGGCAGCAGUGGGGAGUAUUGCGCAAUGGGGGAGACCCUGAUACGGCGACGCCGCGUGCGGGAUGACGGCCUUCGGGUUGUGAACCGCUUUCAGCCAUGACGCGGUAGUGGCAGAAGAAGCACCGGCUAACUACGUGCCAGCAGCCGCGGUAAUUC